CAGCCGCCGCGGUAACACGGAGGAUCCAAGCGUUAUCCGGAAUCAUUGGGUUUAAAGGGUCCGUAGGCGGUCUUGUAAGUCAGUGGUGAAAGCCCAUCGCUCAACGGUGGAACGGCCAUUGAUACUGCAGGACUUGAAUUAUUGGGAAGUAACUAGAAUAUGUAGUGUAGCGGUGAAAUGCUUAGAGAUUACAUGGAAUACCAAUUGCGAAGGCAGGUUACUACCAAUUGAUUGACGCUGAUGGACGAAAGCGUGGGUAGCGAACAGGAUUAGAUACCCCCGUAGUCCCUGUCUCUUAUAA
rnacentral:rRNA from 1 species